UUUUCAUACAGCCUAGGAGGGCAAUCCAGGGAAUGGUGCCACCCAUAGUGGGUGGCUCUUCCUACCUCCAGUAACUCAGUCUCACACACACGCACACGUACAUGCACACGCCCAGAGGUUCUUCCAGGCGAUUCUGGAUCUCCUCAGGUUGACCAUUGAACCAGUACAGUCAACCAGGGGCUUCUGGCCUCAGUGAGUUUCCAAGUAGCUUCUUUCCCUGUUUGCGGCCACCCUACCUUCAGGACUCUGGGAGGGACAAAGCCUCCUGUGCCUCUCAGCUUGAGCAGGCCCCUGCAGGCUCUGUCUUCUCCAAGGCUACCUACCAGUUGGGGGGCCCCUCAGUUACUGGGCCUCUCUGUUCCUUGGCCCUUUCUGUAAAAUGGGAGUGCUACUGCUCUUGCAGGGUGGGGCGGAGCCUGUGGUGCAGGGUUUAUUCCUGUGUUCCUGGAAUGGGACCGCUCUGUCCUCAGGCCCCAGGAAUCAUGCAGGGUACUGCAAGCCCCGGGACUUAGGGAGCAGAGAUAAAUGGCCUCCUUCCCGUUCCACCAUUUGUCUUGGAGAGCAGACUUCCAGAUGGCAUCCUUUGCCAGCGCCUGCCCUGGGUGUGGGAACCAGGUGACCCCUCCACCUACAGCCAUGGCUCCCAUCUCGACCCUGCCUCUCCCACACCCACACUCUAACAGCCCCGCUGGCUCUAAGAAGCUUGGACAGGGCCCCUGCUUGGCUCUCUGGAAAUUUAAGGAAAUGAAAGGAAUUCUUCAGCUGAGUUCUGGCGGAGUUCUCCAGAGUCGACAGAAAUCUGGGCUUCCUGUGCAUCCUCUCCCUGGGAAACAAUUAAAGGCAUAAUUAGAGUGUCACCCGUAUCUCACUGUCCCCAGACAGGCUCAUUAAGACUACUGAGAGACAUGUUUAAUGAGGAGUUAAGAGCAGGGUGGGGCACGUGGGAACCCUCUGAGAGUAUUAGGGCUACUCUGGCCUAAAGCCUGUCUUCAGUGAUUUGGGUAAGAAGGAACUAUUGGGGUAAUGGAGCAAGAGAUACCCUUCCCUCCCAGUCCCUCUGCCCACCCCAGACUGACCUAGAAGUCAGCAGACGUGGCACGGUAGGAGCCUUCCCACCAGGCCUUCCGGGGACUUGAACAGUGACGGGCUCCACAGACCCAGGAGAUGCAGGUAGGAGAGCCUCGCUGACUGCCCCCCACCUUCUAACUCACGUGGCUGUUUUUGGUCUCUGAACUGUACCAAAGAAACCUAGGGGUUCCACACCGCAGACCAUACCCCACCCCUUUCUCAAACUGACCCUGAAUUCUGAUAACUAUCCUCUUGUCUCAGCCUCUAGAAUGCUAUGAUUUCAGGCGUGAGUCACCAGGCCUGGUCCAGGUCUCAGAUAUUCUAGGAGACCUUGUACCUCGGAUGACUUGAAACCGUCAUUUUAAUUCAGCUCUCAAAACCUGAGGAGACCCCCAAGGCUUCUGGCCCAAUAACAAGCCAGCGUGGGGCCUACUGCCUGCUCUGCCCGGACCCAGCUCUCCUCCACGCAUGCUCCCUCCAUGCUACCCCCUAGGCGCUCUGUUUCCAUCUUGGACCCAUACCAUCCUGUCCUGUUCCACUAAUGUGAUAAAGGGAUGCCUGUGGUGUGACUGCCACACAUCAGAACCAUCCUCAGUGUUCAGUCUCCCAAGUGUCACGCAGCCUUUAUGAAGUGGGAGUAUUUAUAGCACAUCUACUUAAACAUUUUUAAUGACAUUUAUUGAGGGCUGAAGUGGGAGGAGUGUUGUGCCUGGAGAGGUCUGAAGACCACUUAGAGGACCCGGUUCUCUCCUUCCACCACGUGGGUUGCAGGCGUCGAACUCAGGUCCACUUAGAAGUAAACACCCUUCCCCACAGAGCCACCUCGAUGGCCAGCACACGGCCAAUGAAGCAGCUGAAGAUAAAGGACCUAAGGGACUCCAUGCAGCUAGGGAAUUGUGAAGUUGGGACACAUCAGGAAUGGCUUCUGGAGUCGUUGCUCGCAACAGCUCGGCCUUUCCGGAAAAUGAUCUACACACUGGGACCCAGAAUGACCAGCAGCCCAAGCCGACAGAGGUAUCCACCAGCUGUCUACUCCUUUGGAGAAAAUGCAUCAGGACCAGGAAAUUAACCAAGAGAUGGAAUCCACCACCUCGUCUAGGAGCCAGAGCCAGGACAGCUGUGGGUUUGAUGAACUCCAGAGGAAGGCAAAGUCCUAGCGGACAGGAGGUCAUGGAGGAUGCGCCUGUGCCCCUUUGUUGUUCUAAGUCUCCCUCUCAUAUCCUGGCCCCAGGUCAGGGCGGUUUAUUCAGGCAGAGAGGAGGGUCCACCCUCUGUCACCUGCUACUGCCACCCACGCCUUCUGGGCUGCUGCACAAAAUGGGCACAAUGGCUUCCCUGUCAAUAGUGGGGCCUGGAGGGUGUUUCCAUCUGUGCUCUGUCUGUCUGCCUUGUGACCCAAUAAUUAUUUAGAAAUAACAGGCCAGAGGGCAGUUGGUGGGGAUGAAAAUGGAGUUUUUCUUAUGGACACAGUAGACCUCAAAGAGAGAUCGAAUCUGUGACCUCGGUCGGACUCACAGUGAAGGACGCUGCAUGCAGCCAGGCCUGGGAGAAUCAUUCCUUCUAGGUUUGUUUGAGAAGAGACAGUGCCUGAGGCAUGCGGGAAGAACCCCUCCUUUCCAGAACUGCCUUUCCAAUGCUGAGAGCUCCUAGCACAGGACUGAGGAUGCCACGGUUUUAGACUUCUUUCCAGAACAGGCCCUGGGAAGCCACUGUUCAGCCUGGAGAGGCUCUGGGCCCAGAACCAUAGACAAGUGGUGAGUAACCUGAAGACCAAGCCAAGACUCCUGGACGAAACAGUCUAGAAGGGAAACGAGGGGAUGACCACACCAACCUGCGCUUGUUUCCUGAGACUCGCAAAGAUCCUAACUUACUGACUCUUCAGUCCCUAGGUCCUCUCGUAGGUAGGUAUAAGCAAUAACCCAGUCACAGUCUUGGGCCUCAGGGGCCUUGUCUUGUCCUGAGAAACAAGGUCCUCUUCCUCACUGAGGCCUGGGAACCACAAAGGAGUGAGGUCUUGGGAGCAGACCUGAACUCACGGUUUUUAGGAAGCAGGGUGCAGACCCGCCAGGCUCAAAGGCAUGGAACUCUGCCUGUUGGGCCCCUUUGCCCUACAGUGUAUGUAGGUGGCUGUUUAUGCAGUCAGCAGAUGUCCCCACUAAAUGGCAUCUUUGGGACACACAGAGAUGGAGAGGGCACGGCACACUAAGGUCACUGAGCAGCAGCAGCCACACCUCCCCAAACCAAUGACUCUCGGACUGCUGGGCUCAUCAAAGCUCCGAGUUUGGCAACUGGGGGUGGGGGGGCACUGAACAAGCAACAAGCUCCACCCAGAGCACAUCUUGCCAGGCCCGCAGGAACAGAAUAGUGAACUGUGACAAAAGAAUAGAUGGCACUGUAGACUGGGGACAGGGAAGCUGGAUCCUUGUGCCUCAGGCCCUAUGUAUUCCCAGUGUCAUACCGAGAUAGCACAUAGGCCCUGUCCUCUCAUGGAAAGACAACUCCCAUGGAACUGGUACUUGUAGGGCAGUGGGGUGGCUCAAUGGGUAAGUGGAGCUUGCAGCCAAGACUGAUAAUAUGAGUUUGAUCCCUGCAACCCAUAUUGUGGUGAAAGGAGAGAACUGGCCCCAUAAGUUGUCCUCUGGUCUCUAGAAGACGCCUUGGCAUACACCUUCCAACAUACAAAGUAAAUAAGUAUAAUAAAAAAUAAAACAGAAACACGGUUUAAGCCAGGUAUGGUGGCAUACGCCUUUAUUCCCAGCAGUCAGGAGGCAGAGGCAGGGGGAUCUCUGUGAUGUAGAGGGCAGCCCGGUCUACAGAGCAAAUUUCAGGCCAGCCAGGGACAUGGAGUGAGAGCCUGUCUCAACAAACAAACCACAACACCUCCUCCACCCUGGUAUUUAUCCAAAGUAGGUAACACUUAUAGAUCCAUAUAACUGAUGGGGAAUCUGGGAUGUGGAGAGAAAUUUGGCUGUCUCGUGCCAUGGGAGUCUUUCUAGGAACUCAGGGUGAGAGUGUAGGGGUAAGACAGGUACACAGGAUAAAAGGGAGAUGGCCCCCGGGCAAGGCUGGCGAGGUGGGGGGAGGAUGGGUUGCUGACCUCACCAUUCUCGGCAGCCAGAGAGUUCUAAAGCUCUGGGCACUCCGGGCAGAUGCUUUUCAGAAUGGCAUG